UUAAAUUGAAGAGUUUGAUCAUGGCUCAGAUUGAACGCUGGCGGCAGGCCUAACACAUGCAAGUCGAACGGUAACAGGAAGCAGCUUGCUGCUUCGCUGACGAGUGGCGGACGGGUGAGUAAUGUCUGGGAAACUGCCUGAUGGAGGGGGAUAACUACUGGAAACGGUGGCUAAUACCGCAUAACGUCGCAAGACCAAAGAGGGGGACCUUCGGGCCUCUUGCCAUCAGAUGUGCCCAGAUGGGAUUAGCUUGUUGGUGAGGUAACGGCUCACCAAGGCGACGAUCCCUAGCUGGUCUGAGAGGAUGACCAG
rnacentral:rRNA from 1 species